rnacentral:tRNA from 1 species
UUGGGGAUGAAAUUCAGUUGGUAUAAUAUUUGCCUAACAUGUAGAAAACCUUGGGUUCAACCCCCAGUACCAAAA